rnacentral:rRNA from 1 species
UACAAAGGGUGCGAGCGUUGUCCGGAAUCACUGGGCGUAAAGGGCGCGUAGGCGGCUUGAUAAGCGUGCGGUGAAAGCCCGGGGCUCAACCCCGGGUCGGCCGUGCGAACUGUCGAGCUGGAGCACUGUAGAGGCAGGUGGAAUUCCGGGUGUAGCGGUGGAAUGCGUAGAGAUCCGGAAGAACACCGGUGGCGAAGGCGGCCUGCUGGGCAGUGGCUGACGCUGAGGCGCGACAGCGUGGGGAGCAAACAGG